UAUGGUUAAUGUUACACAGAGGGCAUUCCAAACACGCCUUCACCUGUGACUUGACUUAACGCUCAGCUCUGCAGCGUGGAGGAGCUUGUUUGACUUUGUUCAGGGAGCGGUGCUUUUGUCUCACGAGCUGGAUUUGGGGUUCAUUGCUGCUCUUUGUGCAGACGGCAGAUUAUUUCCCCCUGCACCCGUUUGGCGAGUGCAGCACAGUGAGUCUGCAGCACAUUCCAGCUGUCUAACAACGUCAUGCUUGUAUCUGCAGGGUCCUUCAUCUGGGAGACGCAAUGAGUUUACUGGAUUCCUGAAGCAGAGAGGACGGCCGUGAUUAUAAUUAUUCUCUCCUCGUAUUUGAAGGCACAUCCUCUGGUUUUCAUUCAAGAUGAAAAGAGCCGGGCCAACAAGUAGCGACUGUCUCUGCAACGCACGGUGUGUCGUAUUCCUCUGUCUCACAGAGAUCUAUUGUCCACAAAUUAUUAAAAAGACAUGAAUUAACCGACGGAAAGAGUUGGAAAUUAGCACAUCAGUUUCAUGAUCUGUAUUGGAAUGUUAAGGAGAAUCAGGUAAGAUAACACAAAGAAUACGCACAUUCAAACUGUAAUUCAUUUUAAAGUAUCUCACAACAUCCCGCUGCUUGAAAUUCUUUUCCACUCAGCAUGUUAGAAGCUGCAGAGUUUAAGUACCCGUCAAUAAAUAACACCACUUAGACAAUAUGCAUUUUGGGACACCAAGGGGCGCCAAAGUCAGAACAAAUCCUGCAAACGUUGUCUUCAGAAAUACGUGAACAUAAAGAAUGUCUAGGCAUUGUUCACAGCACACUCAUAGAGUGACCUCUGACCCGGAGGAGCGUUUUAGCGUCUUUUCUUAUUGAUUCACGUUUGCUCUCAUUGUGUCGUUUUCACCCGCAGAGAGCAGCUGGUUUCAUCACAGAAACUGACAAAAAAGAACAAUUUUAGAUUGCAAAACUUUACAAGAUGGACUACAAAAGUUAGCAAUAAGCUGGUUAACAUGAUAGAGCAUUUAGCAGUCAAAGAAACAAAUACUCCCUCCAAAUAGAGUUAAAAUAGAGACUACAUUUUUCUAAAAUCUUCCGAAUAAACAAGAAUAAAUUGUUUUUACAGGUUGUAAAAGAGUUACUAGUGAUUGAAAUACGUAUUUGAACUUGAGGGUAAAUGUUAAGUUACUGAAGCAAUAUAAGCUUAAAGGAUUAAUUAUGAGACCGGCGGAGGCCUAUUUGCAAAGCAGCCAUCAUCUCAUUCAUGUUCUUUCAGGGGAGGAAGACACAAUAACAUCCAGCAUGGCCUCAUGUGGUCGUAAGAGCAAGAGUCUCGGUAACAAUGGUGCACCAACCCCUGUGCUCCCUUCAACCAGUAAUACCCUGCUACUGGGAACAUCUGCUACAAAGCUGAUUAGCUCUGGUCGACCAGCAGCUGCUGGUUUUUCAUCAAAACGGGAUGAAACCAGAAUCUUCCAUCUUUCAGUCGGAUGUUUUGUACAUCUUCAUCU